GACGAACGCUGGCGGCGUGCCUAAUACAUGCAGGUAGAACGCACAGUUUAUACCGUAGCUUGCUCCACCAUAGACUGUGAGUUGCGAACGGGUGAGUAACGCGUAGGUAACCUGCCUGGUAGCGGGGGAUAACUAUUGGAAACGAUAGCUAAUACCGCAUAAUAUUGAUUAUUGCAUGAUAAUUGAUUGAAAGAUGCUAUUGCAUCACUACCAGAUGGACCUGCGUUGUAUUAGCUAGUAGGUGAGGUAACGGCUCACCUAGGCGACGAUACAUAGCCGACCUGAGAGGGUGAUCGGCCACACUGGGACUGAGACACGGCCCAGACUCCUACGGGAGGCAGCAGUAGGGAAUCUUCGGCAAUGGACGAAAGUCUGACCGAGCAACGCCGCGUGAGGGAAGAAGGUUUUCGGAUCGUAAAGCUCUGUUGUAAGAGAAGAACGGGUGUGAGAGUGGAAAGUUCACACUGUGACGGUAUCUUACCAGAAAGGGACGGCUAACUACGUG
rnacentral:rRNA from 1 species